GAUGAACGCUGGCGGCGUGCCUAAUACAUGCAAGUCGAGCGAACGGACGAGAAGCUUGCUUCUCUGAUGUUAGCGGCGGACGGGUGAGUAACACGUGGAUAACCUACCUAUAAGACUGGGAUAACUUCGGGAAACCGGAGCUAAUACCGGAUGAUAUUUUGAACCGCAUGGUUCAAAAGUGAAAGACGGUCUUGCUGUCACUUAUAGAUGGAUCCGCGCUGCAUUAGCUAGUUGGUAAGGUAACGGCUUACCAAGGCAACGAUGCAUAGCCGACCUGAGAGGGUGAUCGGCCACACUGGAACUGAGACACGGUCCAGACUCCUACGGGAGGCAGCAGUAGGGAAUAUUCCGCAAUGGGCGAAAGCCUGACGGAGCAACGCCGCGUGAGUGAUGAAGGUCUUCGGAUCGUAAAACUCUGUUAUUAGGGAAGAACAGAUGUGUAAGUAACUGUGCACAUCUUGACGGUACCUAAUCAGAAAGCCACGGCUAACUACGUG
rnacentral:rRNA from 1 species